UGCCCAGUUUCCAAACAUGUUUAAUUUGGCACCAAAAACCUGAUCUGAAACAACACCGGUUUUGUUCUGGUCAUUCCCCUCCCCUUCCCUUUUUGAGACGAGUUUUUACUCUAUAGCUCUGGCUGGCCUGGAACUCAGAAUGUAAAUCAGGAUAGCCUUGAACGUUUGGUAAUCCUCCUGUCUCAGUAUCUGCAGUGGUGAAAUGACAGGAGUGAGUCACCACACCUAGCUACUGGCUCUCCCAGUAUGUUUUAAACUACUUACUUUUAAAAUUUAUUGUGAUUGUGUUUAUGUAUGUGUAUAUGACUCAGGGAAGUGAGUGCUGGUGUGUUUGUGUUACAGCGUGUCUGUGGCGGUCAGAAGUUAACUUUCUGGAUUCAUUCUCCUUACCCCGUGGGUUCCAGGGUCAUACUCAGGUUGACAGCUGCUGCUGUGUUAAAAUACUGUAACCAAAAGCAACUUAGGGAAAGCAGAGUUUAUUUGACUUAUGGUUCUAGAGGGAGGGUCUUUGAUUGUGGGAAAGUCGUGGCAUGGUGGCAUGAACAGGAGGCAGGGUAAUCACAUGUUUAUCCACACACAGGAGAGCAAAGAGAGGGAACUGGAAGUGGGAAGAGGUUUUUCCUUUCUGCACACUCUCAAAGUUUCCUCUCACAAGACUCUACAGAUCCAUAACUUAUCCAAACAGCACUACUUGGCUGUUGACCAAGUAUUCAUAUGUAUGAGCCUAUGGGGGGACAUUUGCCAUUCAAACCACCAUACAUGGCAAGUGCUUUUACCAACUGAGCCAUCUCUCCAGCCCUCUGUAUAUUUUGAAAGCGAUUUUAAACUACAUACUUAGUGUAUGUGUCUGAAUUAUUGCUGAAGUGCUUGGAUAGAGCAUGCUGCCCCAGCCUUCUAACACACACUGUAAAUAAAACAGUGUGUUCUCGAAUACCUUUGCAGUCCAGAGAGAGCCCAAAGGCUCAAGCCACCAAGUCUGGGAAUUGAUAUGGAACUGUUCUGAGUACUGUGUGAGUCAGCCCAAAAGUACUGGUUAAUACUGGUUCCCUGGGCAUCUUUACUGUUGCAUGUGUAUUUUUACCAGGGAACAAAGCCAGUAAACAGCUUUAAAGAAGUGGGAUUUUCUUAUGAAUUAAAUUUGAGGGAUUAGUCAGACUUUUAGAAGUCCUAGUAAGGUCGUGUGUCUUCUCAGACUCUUACAUAAUUGCUAUUACUGCAGUGCUCUGUGUUUACAGCUGCUCAGGUUGUGACAGCCACAUCAAGUGGCUAAAAAAAAAAUGACUCUGUAACAUUAACAGUGGUAAUUAGUGAAGACAGCUAUAGAUGUUCCUAAAAGAACAAUUGUCUUAUAAUAUCAUUAAAAAAUGGCUUUUCUAGUAAUGUGUUGUCUCACAAUUUUAGUUUCUCUAACCUUUGGGUCAAGACACAGCCAAAACAUUUGUUCACUAGUAGUAUGCCAGGAUCCUCUCCCCACUCUCCUGAAAUGAAAAUAGUUUUGUUUUCUCUGAUGACAAAGGCAAUGUAC
rnacentral:lncRNA from 1 species